rnacentral:rRNA from 1 species
CCCUUAGAUGUUCUGGGCCGCACGCGUGCUACACUGAGUGGAUCAGCGGGUCAGGUUGCGCGAAAGUGUUUCCUAAUCUUGAAAUCCGCUCGUGAUGGGGAUUGACGGUUGCAAUUUUCCGUCAUGAACGAGGAAUACCUUGUAAGCGCGGGUCAUCAUCCCGCGCUGAAUACGUCCCUGCCCUUUGUACACACCGCCCGUCGCUCCUACCGAUUGAGUGGUCCGGUGAGGCUUUGGGAUCUGAGCGGAAAGAGCGUUUCGCUGUUUCUGCUCGGAAAACUCAGUCGAACCUUAUCAUUUAGAGGAAGGAGAAGUCGUGACA